AUGAUUCCCGCUUGCGUUUUGUUCUCCAGCUUCCUUGAGGCGGCAGAGGGUCACACUCAACGUCUCCACACACCCAUCUGCGGUCCCAUGCUGCCUUUCUCAGCUUCCCCUUGGCCAGACUCCUUGGAGCCCUCAGUGGGGAAUAGCAGCAGAGGAACAGUAAAGACGAGUGCCCUUCGAGACUCAAAAGGAAGAAAAGCAACAAUGAACAUCCAUCCAUCCAUCCAUCCAUCGUCAACAACCGCUUGUCCCGAGCGGGGUUGCGGCAAGCCGGAGCCUAUCCCAGAAACACAGGGCGCAGGGCCGAAGGGGGAGGGGACACACCCAGGACGGGACGCCAGCGACAAUGAACAAACAACUGAAAACAGAAAAUGAAGCAGAGUCUCUGGUACCAGAGCGAUAGCCAGCACUACUGUGUCCGAAACGAACAGAAAUGAAACGAAGAUGCAAGUGACCAUGUUUUUAUACAGUACGAGACCUGACGUGUGUUCUUCGGCAGUUUGGCUUUUCUCAGUUUCCUCCGGCAUGGAGCUCCCUGGUGCCUUACCCAUGAAGGCUCUGUCACACGAUAGAGUGGACGCGCCAUCUGGGAGUCCUACGUCAGCUUUCCGAAUGAAUGCUGCAAAGUGUCGAAGGGACAAAGGCGAGGAGUCGCUCUCUCUUUAAUAAUGGCAGCUGCAACAACAAAAGUGUAAAAAAAUAUCUCCCCUAGGUUUCCUGUCUCUGAAACCCAAUCCUUCCAGAGACCAGAUACAUACUGGAACCAUUGAAAUCCCCAACCCAGGCCUUGCCAAGCAUGGGACGUGCUGUGGGGUCCCUGUUCCCCCCCAUCUGCAGUUGCAGACAGCUAUGCAGCUUGUCAGAUAGAAACAGCUGGGUGUGGGCUGGGAGUGUGGAGUGCGGGGCUGAGUCUCACAGCGGUGCCCGAAUGUCCACCGUCCCAGUUGGCAUCAGUCACAGUAUGCUGCACCCUCACACCAGUGUUUAGAAAACAGGCUAGUCUCAGCAUGACCUUAGUCCAGAACCUGAGGAUGAAACACCCCAGAAGAACCUCACUGGAUGCACCUGAAACUUGUGUCCCAAAUCUCAUGACCCUUGUACCGCGUGUGCACUCUUUUACUAGGCAGUUCUGGUUUGCUGGGGCCGUACUUCACCAGACUCUGCCUGCCGCUCAUCCAUAAACACGGCCGUUCGGAAGAUAAACCCGACAUCACAAUCACAGUGAGCAGCUGCUCGGUAGUAUUUUGGAGCGGCGCAUCGCAGGCUCUGUGUAAAAAGUCCUUUGUGCGAAACACAGGGCCAGAAUACGCCUACAAGGUACAGGGGCUGUUGCCUUUCCCUGGAUCUGACUUUGCACGUUUACUCCCAGAGAGCCACUGCAGCUGAUGUGCCGGUGCCAAAGGUGCAUCAGAAAAACAGAUUAGCGCACAUCCGGACUCCAGAAACAUCUUCCCUUGAUGGGUGCCUCACCGGCUGGGGGUGAGAGUGAAAAUACACUUCCUCUCCGUUCAGGUCACAAUUCGGAGCUGCUCAGACAGCAUCGAGUACCUAAAUGCGUACGUUUAACUCCAGUGAUGGGAUUAUUUUGAGUUCCCGAGCGAGUCUAGAGGCAGAAUAAUAGGAAUCGCAGUUUAACUUCCUUCCACUGUCCUAUAUCCCGAUGUAUGAGAAACCUCCUGGUGUACCUGUAGAUCUUGCAGAGGUGCAGUCACUCCAGCCCACAGUUUCAUUGUUUUGCACCUUGGAACAAAAGUUGAGGCUGAUUUUGCAUGUUGUGCGCUGCUUUCCAGCACCUUGGCUUUUAUAGAACAAUCGCGUUUCCACACUGAUUUCAAUGACACCCCUCAGCCCAGUCUAUGACCCUGAAUGCACACCAAGAUGCUACAGCUUCACAAAUAAAGAGACCUGAGAUCACA
rnacentral:lncRNA from 1 species